rnacentral:rRNA from 1 species
GACGAACGCUGGCGGCGUGCUUAACACAUGCAAGUCGAACGGAAAGGCCCUGCUUUUGUGGGGUGCUCGAGUGGCGAACGGGUGAGUAACACGUGAGUAACCUGCCCUAGACUUUGGGAUAACUUCAGGAAACUGGGGCUAAUACCGGAUAGGAGCUCCUGCUGCAUGGUGGGGGUGGGAUAGUCUCGGCGGGUGGGGAUGGACUGGCGGCUUAUCAGCUUGUUGGUGGGGUAGUGGCUUACCAAGGCUUUGACGGGUAGCCGGCCUGGGAGGGUGAACGGCCACCUUGGGACUGAGAUACGGCCCAGACUCCUACGGGAGGCAGCAGUGGGAAAUCUUGCACAAUGGGCGGAAGCCUGAUGCAGCGGCGCCGCGUGCGGGAUGACGGCCUUCGGGUUGUAAACCGCUUUCGCCUGUGACGAAGCGGGAGUGACGGUAAUGGGUAAAGAAGCACCGGCUAACUACGUG